rnacentral:tRNA from 1 species
AUUUAUGUAGUUUAAGAAAAUAUUACAUUUUCAUUGUAAAGUUAUAAUAUUAUCAUAAAUA